CGUCAAAUCAGCACGGCCCUUACGUCCGGGGCGACACACGUGUUACAAUGGGUGGGACAGCAGGCAGCAACCUGGCGACAGGUAGCGAAUCCUGAAACCCACUCCCAGUUCGGAUUGGAGUCUGCAACCCGACUCCAUGAAGCUGGAUUCGCUAGUAAUCGCGCAUCAGCCAUGGCGCGGUGAAUACGUUCCCGGGCCUU
rnacentral:rRNA from 1 species